GUCGAGGUUUACACUCCCCGGCGCUCUCGCAGCACAUUGCAGCGGAAGGAAGCCGGUUCGAACCCGGCACGGUCGCGCCACUGUAUUCGGUCCCUGGACUGAGAGUCAGACCCUUCCCCGCAUCCACAUCCACUU
rnacentral:ncRNA from 1 species